AAUAGUCCUGUAAGUGAAACGAGAAGACCACGAGUUAUGAUCCAGAGUACCACGAGACACGUGAAACCUUGUGGGAAGCAGGGAGGACCACCUCCCAAGGCUAAAUACUACCUGAUGACCGAUAGUGAAGCAGUACCGUGAGGGAAAGGUGAAAAGAACCCCGGGAGGGGAGUGAAAUAGAACCUGAAACCGUGUGCCUACAACCGCUCAGAGCCCCUUAUGAGGGUGAUGAGGUGCUUUUUGUAGAACGAGCCAACGAGUUACGGUAUGUAGCAAGGUUAAGUACUUAAGGUACGGAGCCGAAGGGAAACCGAGUCUGAAUAGGGCGACUAGUUGCAUGCCGUAGACCCGAAACCGGGUGACCUAUCCAUGGCCAGGUUGAAGCGAGGGUAAAACCUCGUGGAGGACCGAACCACGUUGCUGUUGAAAAAGCAUGGGAUGAGCUGUGGAUAGCGGAGAAAUUCCAAUCGAACCCGGAGAUAGCUGGUUCUCUCCGAAAUAGCUUUAGGGCUAGCGUCGAGUAUGAGUAGUGGAGGUAGAGCACUGAAUGGGCUAGGGGGCAUAGCGCUUACCGAACCUUAUCAAACUCCGAAUGCCACAUACUUUGAGCUCGGCAGUCAGACUACGAAUGAUAAGAUCCGUGGUCAAAAGGGAAACAGCCCAGAUCGUCAGCUAAGGUCCCAAAGUGUAAGUUAAGUGGGAAAGGAUGUGAGAUUUCUAAGACAACUAGGAUGUUGGCUUAGAAGCAGCCAUUCAUUAAAAGAGUGCGUAAUAGCUCACUAGUCGAGAGAUCUUGCGCCGAAAAUGUAACGGGGCUAAACUUACCACCGAAGCUACGGGCUUGAACAUAGUUCAAGCGGUAGGAGAGCGUCGUAACCGGGCUGAAGUCGUACCGUAAGGAGCGGUGGACUGGUUACGAGUGAGAAUGUUGGCAUCAGUAGCGAGAUGUGGGUGAGAAUCCCACAGGCCGAAAACCUAAGGUUUCCUCAGGAAGGUUCGUCCGCUGAGGGUUAGUCGGGACCUAAGCCGAGGCCGAAAGGCGUAGGUGAUGGACAACUGGUUGAUAUUCCAGUACCACUACCAUCGUUAUUAUCGAUGGCGUGACGCAGGAGGAUAGUGUGUGCUAGCUAUUGGAUGCUAGUCUAAGCGUUUAGGCAGUGA
rnacentral:rRNA from 1 species